rnacentral:rRNA from 1 species
AUGCGCCAGCAACAGCUGAGAGCUCGAUUAUCUCCAGAUGAGCAGCUUGCUGCUGAAGAAAGUUUCGCGUUGUACUGCAAGCCAGUUGAGCUAUACAAUAUCAUUCAGCGGCGAGCCAUUAGAAAUCCCGCUUUUAUGCAAAGAUGCCUUCAUUACAAGAUACAUGCAAGCCAAAAAAAGAGGAUUCAGAUAACAGUAUCACUAUCUCGAAGUACAAAUACUGAGUUGCCGGAACAGAAUAUCUUUCCUCUUUAUGUUCUGUUGGCUACACCUACCAGUAAUAUUUCGCUUGAAGGGCAUUCUACGAUAUAUCGAUUCAGUCGGGCUUGUUUGCUUACAGCUUUUAGUGAAUUUGGUAAUAAAGGUCGUACCAAAGCUACAUUCAUAAUUCCAGACAUCAAGAAUAUAUCAACCUCUCGAGCUUGCAACCUUGACAUUAUCCUUAUCAGCUAUGUUUCGGAAGGGCAAGUUGGGGAAAAUCUUGGUGAAAAUAAUUGCUCUGUGGACCAUGUGGAAGGCUCUGCUCUCCAAAAGCUUGAAGCGAAAUGUUUCUGGGGUAAAAUACCAAUUGAUCUACUUGGUUCGUCUUCGGAGAACCGUGUAACUUUAAAUUUGGGACAUACAGUGGAGUUGGCUUCUAUAGUUAGUAUGAGCCCAAGUUUCUUAGAGUCAAAAUUUAUGGAGCAGGACAGUUGCUUGACAUUUUGCUCUCAUAAGGUUGAUGCUACAGGUUCAUAUCAACUCCAAGUAGGCAUAUCUGCUCAAGAAGCUGGUGCAAAAGACAUGUUUGAAUCUCCAUAUAGUAGUUACUCAUACAGUGGUGUCCCAGCUUCAUCAUUACCACAUAUCGUAAGGUUGAGAGCUGGUAAUGUGCUUUUCAACUUCAAGUACUACAACAAUACUAUGCAAAAGACUGAAGGUUAUCCCUUACACACACAUUUGGGUUCAUGUAUUUUUUAG